CAAAACACCGCCCCUCCGGGCUGGCUGGUCGCUGCUCGAGGGCCAUCUAGGUUUUCGCACCUCUAGGUUGUAACUAGCUGUGAGCAGUCUGUGCAUCAGCAAAGAGCUAUCACUGCAGAGGUCAGUGAACAACAGCGGGUGUCCUUUCACACAGCAGAGUAAUUAUGAGGCCCUUGUUUUGCUCCAAGAUACAUCAUUUACAAUCUGACCAUGCUCAGAGACCUUGCUUGUAACUUGUGAAGGCGAGCUGCUACCCCACAGAUCCCAGCAAUACAAUAAGCGAUGCAAUUUAAUAAGCAAAUGCAGAAAGCAUAUUUUAAAUUAGCUUUUCGUAAUGAUAUUAAAUACAAUUUAUCCUUG